CGAAAACGGAAUCUUUCCCAGUAACGAGAAACAUAGCUAUUUAGGAUAAAGGUGCGGAAUACAAAAAAGAAUGGAGACAUACUACAGGGCCCUGGGCAUUGCUGGUCUAAUCUUUGCUAUAAUCGAUGCUCGAACGGUCGACCAGUUCAAACGGGGUCUCAAUGGUGUAGCAGAUUCCACCUCUCUCAUCCUGCUAUCUGUCAUCCGUCUUCGGGUAUCUCUUAGCCGCCUUGGGGUAGUUUUUAAAAAUCUUGCUCUGGUUGCUGAAUUUGUGGAUUUGGUUUUGUCAUAGCAGAGCAGACUAGACAAAAAUGUACACAAUACUGAUGCUGCUCCUCUUUCUGGAAACGGCGAUUAAGGGUUAUUAACACGGCGGGAAUGUUUUGGAAAUAUGAUAUAUCAGCUAAUAUAUCUAAGCAAAACGAUCAUGAACAUUUUGUAAUAAAGUCAUGUGAUGUCGACUCUACAAUCUCAAAAUGCUAUGGUAAA